CCUGCCCCUAGAGGCAUUGCAGGUGUGACAGCUGUGUGCUGUGUGCAUCAGCAGGUGGCAGAGAGGAGAGAGCCUCCGUCCACACGCGGUGUUCCGACCUGGGAGCAGCUGAGUGUAGCAGCCUGACAUU